rnacentral:tRNA from 1 species
CAAAUUCGGUAGACGCUACGGACUUAAAUAAGUAAUUUGAGCCUUGGUAGAAAAACUUACUAAAUGCUGGUUCAAGUCCCUCUACCCCCAAAACUAUUAAUAUUUUUUUUUAUUGACAG